CCCGCAGUUAUCUCUCCCACACGAUUCCACGAAGUCCCAUUUUCCCAACUUCCCUUUUUCCGUUGCUUAAUCACAUUCACUUUCCCUCACACACAGCAAAAAUUCUCUCUCUCUCCCUCAUUUGUGCGCCGGUCAGAGAAUAUGGUGCUGCACGCCGCCGCUCUUUGCUUUUUGAGUCUUGGCCGCUGACGGUUCCCACCGCCUAAACAAAGCUGAGAGCUUCUCCCCGUUGUGUAGCACCACCUACGGUCAGUGUCAUCGCCGACUCUCCCCUUCGUGCACAUGGCCACAAUGUCAUGGACUCCCUCUCUUUCUCUAGGAUUUAGACAAAAACAGAAUUGGGCCGUGAAAAAAUUAAACCACCGGAGAUAACCCUUGCAAGAUUCAUCGCCUCGAUUACUAUCGUCAUCGUAUCCAAUGGAAGGUGGCAUUGCACAACCCUGUUCGAAGUGCUGCAAGGACGUUUCCAACACCCUAGACAGUGUUGUUGCGCUCUCUAAAUUCCAUGGGGUCAUCGCACGUGAUUAGGUGUCAGAUAGUAACCCUCCAACCAUUUUCGGGUACGGGACGUUACAGUCUACUUCUGGUUUUUGUACAUUCCUUGGAAGUAACCUCAUCUCAUGGAGUGCCAAGAAACAAGCAACCAUGGCCUGCUCCAGUGCUGAACAGAGUACAGAUUGAUGGUUGCCACUGCCACUGAGCUCACCUGGGUGCUCUUGGCUACUUGGAGAAUCGUUUUGUCACCUCUGCAAAUCAGCUAGCUGAUAUCUACACGAAGCCAUUGCCCAAGGCUCUCUUUCAUGUCUUCUGUAGAAAACUUGACCUUUGUCUUGAUCCUCAGCCAUGUUUGAAGGGCAGUGAAAGCACCACUACAUCAGUGGAGAAGAUUACACAGCACCGUGAUCCUGACUACAUUAAAAUGCAAGAGAAUAUCUCUCAUCAUGAAGAGGAUAUCACGCAUCAAGACUUGGAAAAUUGAUAGAAUAUUUUCUGCAUCAUUAUUGGAAAGUCUAGCUGUAAUUUCCCUUAUUUAAUACGUAAAUACAACACUCUUGUAUGUAAUUACUCUGUAAAUACAGUAUAUAAUGAAAUGCAAGUCUUCUCUC